AUUGAACGCUGGCGGCAUGCCUUACACAUGCAAGUCGAACGGUAACGGGCCUUCGGGUGCCGACGAGUGGCGAACGGGUGAGUAAUGUAUCGGAACGUACCUUUCAGUGGGGGAUAACGUAGCGAAAGUUACGCUAAUACCGCAUAUUCUGUGAGCAGGAAAGCAGGGGAUCGCAAGACCUUGCGCUGAUUGAGCGGCCGAUAUCAGAUUAGCUAGUUGGUGAGGUAAAGGCUCACCAAGGCGACGAUCUGUAGCGGGUCGUGAGAGGAUGAUCCGCACACUGGAACUGAGACACGGUCCAGACUCCUACGGGAGGCAGCAGUGGGGAAUUUUGGACAAAUGGGGGCGAACCCUGAUCCAGCCAUGCCGCGUGAGUGAAGAAGGCCUUCGGGUU
rnacentral:rRNA from 1 species